rnacentral:rRNA from 1 species
GACGAACGCUGGCGGCGUGCUUAACACAUGCAAGUCGAACGAAGUGGCGAACGGGGGAGUAACGGGUAAUCAACCUGCCCUUCAGAGGGGGACAACAGUGGGCAACGACUGCUAAUACCGCAUACUGAAGAGGGGGCUUGGGUCGGAUUAGCUAGUUGGGGGGGGAACGGCCCACCAGGGCGAUGAUCAGUAGCCGGUCUGAGAGGAUGAACGGCCACAUUGGGACUGAGACACGGCCCAGACUCCUACGGGAGGCAGCAGUGGGGAAUCUUCCGCAAUGGACGAAAGUCUGACGGAGCAACGCCGCGUGAGUGAUGACGGCCUUCGGGUUGUAAAGCUCUGUUAAUCGGGACGCGGUACCGGAAUAGAAAGCCACGGCUAACUACGUGCCAGCCGCCGCGGUAAUAC